rnacentral:rRNA from 1 species
GACGAACGCUGGCGGCGUGCUUAACACAUGCAAGUCGAACGGAAAGGCCCUGCUUUUGUGGGGUGCUCGAGUGGCGAACGGGUGAGUAACACGUGAGUAACCUGCCCUUGACUUUGGGAUAACUUCAGGAAACUGGGGCUAAUACCGGAUAGGAGCUCCUGCUGCAUGGUGGGGGUUGGAAAGUUUCGGUGGUUGGGGAUGGACGCGCGGCUUAUCAUCUUGUUGGUGGGGUAGUGGCUUACCAAGGCUUUGACGGGUAGCCGGCCUGAGAGGGUGACCGGCCACAUUGGGACUGAGAUACGGCCCAGAGUGCAACGGGAGGCAGCAGUGGAGAAUAUUGCACAAUGGGCGGACGCAUGAUGCAGCAACGCCGCGUGCGAGAUGACGGCUUGUGGGUUGUAAACCGCUUUCGCCUGUGACGAAGCGUGAGUGACGGUAAUGGGUAAAGAAGCACCGGCUAACUACGUG